GAUCCUCCAGUGUCCGCACCACGGGCUUCUUACCUCUCCUGGCCAUCGCUGCGCCACUUCAUGCUGCGGCCGCCGGGGAGCUGAGGGGAAGGAGCAGCGAAGAGCAGCGGGCGCCCAGGCGCGGGUAGACCUGAGUCCGCGCCGACUCGGCUCACUCUUCCACCAGACGCUAGUACAGAGUGUUUCUACUUUCGGCUGCCUCCCCGAGCCGUCGCCGCCGGAAUACACAGGGCAGACAAGGGAGUCAUCUUCCAGAGCCCGGGCCAGAGCUGGGGUGCGCUGAGGAGAGAGCCAGGCAGGGAGAGAAGCUCACGCCGGACUCGCCCCUUUCUUCCAGAAUAAAAUAAAAGUGUCUGAACCGCUCGUGACUGGGCCAGGCUGGACGCAGAAGCCCCUGGACGCCGGCCUCGGUGUUCGUAGGACAGAAAUCGACCCAGAUACCGCCACGGCAGCAGCUCUGCCGGCAGCUGGCUCUCGGCUCUGGGCUCCUCAGCUCCCGGCUCCCGGCUCGGGGUUCUCUCACUGAAGCGCAGCAGCAACCGCGGCGGCUGCAAACCCUCUCGAACCCCGCAAACCCCGCGCAGCCAGCGGGGCGGGCUUAUGUAAAGCAGGGCCGGCGGAGAGCCAAUGGUAUUGAAGGAUGCUAAUUAUCUCUCUAAAAAAAAAAAACCCUCAGCUCCACGCAGCCCCGCCCCUCACACGCCCCCGGUCCGUGACCGAAGGCUACAGGAAGUGGGGGGCAGAGUGCCUUGGAACAGGGGGUCCCGUGGGAGUGUAGAGACGCAGAAGCUGCCCCUCAAGCUUCGGCUUUGAUACCAGAAAAGAAGAAUGUUUGCCCCAGAGUGGAAGGAAAUAAACCAGGCAAGCAGAGGGAUCGGGGCAAUGGACAUCACUGAAACGCUGUCUCUGGACAUCAGACAUCUGCCGCCAGGGCCCACUAACUAGAGUCCCUCCUUCAAAUGCCUGGGGUUGCACUGUGGGUAAGGCUUAUGUCACACUUUGCUGUUCUGGUGGGUAUGCUUCCAGACAGCUCAGCUUUGAAAGGGGUAAAUUUGCACAGAGGAGAGGUGUUUUUUUGUUUGUUUGUUUUUUACUAAAGAAGGAUACACAUGCAUGAUUUAGUUGAAUUUUAUGUCAAAUAGCAUUGUCUUAUUUGUACUCACCCACUAGGGCAAAAACCAUCUCUUAUUCACCUGGGGAUCACUAGUUCCCACUCUCUCUGCCUGGAGUAGGGGACUCUCCCCAUCUGGCUUCCUCUGAAUUUCUAGCUUAGAAGUGCCCUCCUACCAGAAGGUAGCCCAGAUCCUUCAUGUUAAAAACAAUAACAACAACAAAAUUCAACUGAGUAAAUUUUAAAGAUCUUAUUGGCUUUAUUCAAUGAUUCAUGAAUAUGGCAGUAUCCAAUCUAGCAGAAGGAAAGGAGCUUAGAUGAGCUGUAUAAAAUGAAAGACUGUUAUAGGCAGAAGGGAGCAGGAAUAAGCAAGGUAUACUAGACAGAAAAAAGCAGAUUAGUUUUUGCAAGGUUACUUUCCUCUAGGGGAUGGCAGGGGUCUAUCAGGCAGACUACCUAGCUAGUGCUGAACAGGAGAUUCCUCAUUAACUAGUUUAAGAUUCCAUUUCUGGGAGAGCCACAACAGUGAGUAAGCGUCAGUUUGGUGAAGAGGAGUAACUUAACAUAAGCGACUCCGUUUGGAGCCUGGUGUCUUGUUAACAUUCAGUAAACCAGCUAACCAGAGCUUGAAAUUAAAAGCCACCCAUCCCUUCACCCCAAUAAACCACCAUCACCCUGUAGCUACCAUUCUAAUGCAUAUGCCCAUCACCUCUCACUAUUGACUAUUGUAAUAUUCUCCUGACUGGGCUCCCUCUCUCCUGCCUUUUCCUUCUCCAAACCAUCCAGUCCAAGAAUCUUCCAAAAGCCCAGUUCCUAUCUUAUCAUUCCUCUCUUGAAAAAAAUUCAAAUGUUUCCCUUUGCCUUCCAGAUAAAUUAAGUUUAUACUGAUUAGCUGGCCUUCAGGGAUCUCCUCACUUUGUUCCCAGAUGCUUUCCACAACAUUCCAAACCCUUUAUAAGGGAUUGUGAUGGUUAAUUUCAUGUGUCAAUUUGACACAGGUGCCCAGACUAAACAUUGUUUCUGGGUAUGUCUAUGAGGGUUUUUCCAGAUGGGAUUAGCAUCUGAAUUGAUGGAAUCAGUAAAUUGCUCUCCCCAAUGUGGUUGAGCCUCAUCCAGUCUGCUGAGGGACUGAAUAAAACAGAAGGUGUAGGAGAGAAGAGUUCAUCACCCCCACCACCUCCACCUCACUGAUUGAGCUGGAACAUAUCUUCUCCAGCCCUCGAACUGGAAUUUACAUCACCUGCUCCCCUGGUUCUCAGCUCUUUGGACUUGGACUGAAUUAUACCAUGAGCCUUUCUGGGCCUCCAGCUUGCAGACAUCAGAUCAUGGGACUUCUCAUUCUCCAUAAUUAUAUGAGCCAAUUUCUCAUAAGCAAUCUCUAUAUAUGUAUUUUUUUCACAUACCAACAAAUACAGGGAUACUGAGUCUUUAAUGAGCUGAAUCCUGCCUCCUUCUCUAGGCUCUCUGUCAUCACACUAGCCUCUUGAAUACGAAUUCACACUCACAUAGACAUACAGAUGCCCUGAUACACCUACAGAGAUACCUGCACACACACGAACACACAGACAGAUGCACUCACACACAAACACAUGCCUAUGCUCUAGCCAUACUGAAAUCUUUCCUGGUUUUCCAAAUUAACAUGUUGUUCCUUGCAUUUGAUAUGUCUUUGCAGAUGCUCUUUCCUCUGCUCACUCUGCUCAGGGACACCUGUCUUCCUCUUCUGAACCUGGCAGACCUCAUCCUUUAAGAUUUGGCUC